AGAAAAAGCUUCAUUAAGAAAUGUGUUUGUCGGGAGCAGAAACUGCGAGCGAAUGAAAAUGGGAGCCAACCACAGGAAGUAAAUUUCAAUAAAUCACCAGUACUUGACAACUUUUGGGAAGGCAAAAGGCCUUUCUCUGCUGCCUGUUGCCACAUACCAGGCUGCUGUGUUGAAAGGGAGAAAGGAGUAAAAAGCUGGAAGGAAAAAUGCUGGACACAGGAUCUUCUUUUUUUUAAUUAUCUCUUUUAAAAAAUGGAUGCAAAAUGUCAGGACAGACACUCUGGAUUAUCAUUUGUUUGCUUCAGAAAAUAAAGAAUGGAUUACAACGUUGUGAGGCAGGAUGUCCGUGGAUCUUCAUGUUUCUUUGAACCAAAAGGUGAAUAUUUAUCGAAGAUCAUAAUCUAUCAGUAAUGCUGUUUUGUACAAUUGAUUCAUCACAACAAAUUGCAACUGUGCAAAUCCAGAAAUAUCUGGCUUAUGCUGGGGUCUUAUGAGGAGGGGUCAAGCACUGGGGUGCCCCAGAAGUGAACUACAUGAGAAAGGAGAAUGGGAACUAACUUCAAAGCAUUUAAAAAAGAAAAAAGCAAGUGGAUGUUAAAAUGAAAAUCCAGGAUGUAGACCAGAGAACAAAGCACCUAGAACCUUCCUUAAGAAAAGAGGCCUGAUGUUCACUUAAAUGACUUCAAUUUCAUGGGACUGGAAUUCAGAAUGGAAUUUUGUUAACAAUGAUUCUAGAUGAAUGGCUAAUUUAAUAUUUGCGUAAAUGUUUAUAGAAAUACCUAAUUCUUUUUUUUUAUUAUUUUCAUAAUGCAUAAUUUAAGCUUCCAGAAGACAUUUUUGGGGAAGCGCAACGUUCCCCUUGGGCGGCUGGCACUAAUCCCAUAAAACAUUCACAUUCUCAACAUACAGCACAAUCCUCUAAUAUAAUGCAUUCAAUAAAUUAUCCUUUAAGUUAUCUUUUUUAACUGAGGUAAGUGCAUCUAGUUGCUACAAACUGAGCAUUCGUUUUCUGCUAAUGCUUGAAAUGGCAAGAAUGAUCAGGUCCGAGCCCACCCUUCCAAGCACAGCUCACUGAUGUUUAAGACUUUCUUCUUUUCAGUAUACAACAUAUAUUCUGAUUUUUCUGGCAUAGCAAAAUUUUGCAGUUACUUAAGAUAUUUAUGUAUGUGUUGUUUAAUCUGUGGCAAUAGACAUAAUGUAUGAAUUCCAAAUGCUGACAGAGAAAAUGUUUUUUGUCUUUUAAUGUAAUUAAUUUUAAAAAGCAUUUAAAUUGGGUAAAUAUUUCAACAGUGAUACACCAUUACAAAUUUCUUCUGUAGUGAGAAUUAAAAGCUAAUACUGCUUCUCUAGACAAAAUGAAGGUCUUAUCUUUUGGGGCAUUUCAGUGUGAAAUCUGAACUGAAGCAACUGUCAAAAAAAAAACAAGACCCAGAGUCAAGCUUCCUUCCUUGUUUUUAUAGCUGUGUGGAUGAGAUUUGUCCGGGUCGCACAGCGUCCAUGUUCAAAUGAACACUCAGCCAAUCAAACCUACAGUACAUCUUUUCUUCACAACACCUCUCACAUGACCCUAAAAGCUUUUACACUGUACAGAAAUGGAAAAUGUGCUUCCUUUCAUUUGAGCAGAGUGAAUGAUUUGGCACUUGGAUGGCUGUUCUGUUUUAUUCUUGAAAAACAAGCUUGAAAAUUCGGGACACACUAAUAUCUCCCGCUGUGACCUCUGAAUUUGAUAAAAACUUCUACUUAUGAGAAAUUUUUUAUAUAUUUGUCAUUUUUUUUUUUUUACAAAAAGCUAAGUUUUGAAAAUAAAAUGAUUGGAUUCUA